rnacentral:ncRNA from 2 species
UUUAUUUGCUAGGGGUGCCGUUUUAAGAGCGGCUGAGAGGAUAGAUUCCGACCCUUUGAACCUGAAUUGGUUAAGACCAACGGAGGGAAGCGCUCGGCAUACGUU